rnacentral:snRNA from 1 species
ACCUCUUGGUCUAAUGGUUGACCA